UACAGAGGGUGCAAGCGUUGUUCGGAAUUAUUGGGCGUAAAGGGUGCGUAGGCGGGUCUUUAAGUCAGGGGUGAAAUCCUGGAGCUCAACUCCAGAACUGCCUUUGAUACUGAAGAUCUUGAGUUCGGGAGAGGUGAGUGGAACUGCGAGUGUAGAGGUGAAAUUCGUAGAUAUUCGCAAGAACACCAGUGGCGAAGGCGGCUCACUGGCCCGAUACUGACGCUGAGGCACGAAAGCGUGGGGAGCAAACAGG
rnacentral:rRNA from 1 species